AGAGUUUGAUCCUGGCUCAGAUUGAACGCUGGCGGCAUGCCUUACACAUGCAAGUCGAACGGUAACAGGUCUUCGGAUGCUGACGAGUGGCGAACGGGUGAGUAAUACAUCGGAACGUGCCCGAUCGUGGGGGAUAACGGAGCGAAAGCUUUGCUAAUACCGCAUACGAUCUACGGAUGAAAGCAGGGGACCGCAAGGCCUUGCGCGGACGGAGCGGCCGAUGGCAGAUUAGGUAGUUGGUGGGAUAAAAGCUUACCAAGCCGACGAUCUGUAGCUGGUCUGAGAGGACGACCAGCCACACUGGGACUGAGACACGGCCCAGACUCCUACGGGAGGCAGCAGUGGGGAAUUUUGGACAAUGGGCGAAAGCCUGAUCCAGCCAUGCCGCGUGCAGGAUGAAGGCCUUCGGGUUGU
rnacentral:rRNA from 1 species